rnacentral:hammerhead_ribozyme from 1 species
UAGCGAAACCCGGCGCAAGCCGGGUCUGCGGAGUGUGACGGCUCCGCACUGAUGAGCAGUCAAUC